rnacentral:tRNA from 1 species
AUGUCUCGGAUGAACCUUCCCGUGCUUUUUAGAACAUAGAUCGGAUCAGUCAGAUCACGAUCGCAACGUAAUACGCCGCAUAGACUUCGGUCAUGACGGUAUGGCGAGCUGCGCCGUCCACGUUUCUCUUUCUUCAAGAAGACAAAGAACCGCGUCGAUCCAGUUUAGGCUGGACCGGUUUGACGAGAAUGGGCCCGUAGCUCAGUUGGUUAGAGCACACGCUUGAUAAGCGUGGGGUCGGAAGUUCAAGUCUUCCCGGGCCCACCAUUCGCAUCUGCGAAUGAGGGUUGGGAAUUGACGGCAGGCGCGGAAAGUUGCCGAACCUGAGUUAUCUCAGGCGAUCGAGCUGAUGGGGCUGUAGCUCAGCUGGGAGAGCACCUGCUUUGCAAGCAGGGGGUCAGCGGUUCGAUCCCGCUCAGCUCCACCAAAUCGAUUGGUGUUGAGACUGGCGGCAACCGAGCGAAGCUCGCAAGCGUGUAAGCGCGCGUCGCCAAUCGUUUGGCGCCCCCGCGGAGCNCCUUCGGCGCGUGAGCGACACAUUUGUCUUUUGAAGAAAUAAAAGUUUGCAUCGGCUUAUGCCUGAUGCCUGUUCUGCAUACAUUGUGAAGAGAAGAUUGAUCUGGAGGCUUCCAGGUGUUUUGGGUUUUGGCCCGAAACGUCCGAGCCCAGUUCUGCUGAUCCUNUGGAUGGCCUAGCCGGCCGGNGAUAGGGGAAGGNCUGGAGGUAGGAAGGAAGCUUGUCGCUCUGGGUCGUUGUUGUUUGGUCAUCUUUAGGGAUGGGCAUCUGACGGACGACUUGAUUACCGUUGCCUGACCGCGCGGUAUCGGAUCAUAUCUCGAGAAGCUGGUCUUAAGACCUGACACAAGCGAGCUGCUCGGCGUAGCUCCAAUAAAGUGAUCAGGUCGAACCCGUCGAUGGCAUUAUUAGAAAGCGUGAUCNUAAAAGGUAAUCACGCAUGUUUGGACUGACCACACGGCAAUCGCAAGGUUGUCCGGAUGGUCAGAUUUGGCACCCCGCGAGGCGAAAGCGAGCGGACAAGGUUUGCCAAAUCCAACAAAGAUGAUGAGCAUUGGCAAUGAGAACGAUUAAGUGUCGUAAGGGCAUUUGGUGGAUGCCUUGGCAUGCACAGGCGAUGAAGGACGUGAUAUCGCUGCGAAAA